UACGUAGGGGGCAAGCGUUGUCCGGAUUUAUUGGGCGUAAAGAGCGUGUAGGCGGCCAGGUAGGUGGGUUGUGAAAACUGGAGGCUCAACCUUCAGAGGUCGACCCAAACCCCCUGGCUAGAGUCCGGAAGAGGAGAGUGGAAUUCCUGGUGUAGCGGUGAAAUGCGUAGAUAUCAGGAGGAACACCAAUGGCAAGGCAGCUCACUGGGACGGUAUUGACGCUGAGACGCGAAAGCUGGGGGAGCAAAACAGG
rnacentral:rRNA from 1 species